AUGUCUGUUGAUUUUUAUUUAUUAUUUUUAUUUUUUUUUCCAGUGCAACAUGAAUCCUUAGUAAGGUGUUACAGCAACGCAUACCUAAAUACUGCAGGCCACAAAAAGUUGCAGUUAUUUAAGGAGGUUGUGUCUUCAGGCUCCAUGGUGUCAAAUAAUUUUGACAGGCAAUGGAAAGGCAAUAUUUCUAGGGCAGGCUAUCCCUUCUGUUUUGCCCAUAGACUUUUCAAUCAAUCAAAGCCAGGCUUUUUUCCCACUGAAGUGUUCAAUAAUUCAUUGGACUCCGGCUUAGGGCCAUAGCUGAUGUUCGGAAGAAGAAUUGCAAUGAAGAGGAGGAGGAGGAGGAGAAGAGUGAAUUGCAUUUUGGGCAAAUCUACAGGCCAAAGACAAUUAAAUGUUACUAACAGAGCCAUGGUUCUCAUCAAGUUCACAGAUUCAGGUUUUAACAGAAACUUUUGAGCUGCCUCAUAAAAGUCAAUUUUAAUUUAUUUGUUCCUAAUUUUAUUCUGUUGUUUUCAUUGUGUAGAAUGUUCAGGAAUCAAGAUCCUCCAACCAAUAAAUGGAAGAAAACUUUAAAAAGUAAAAAAAGGAAUGUUCUAAUACAGCCCAAUCCAAAUGUACUGAUAACUAAAUCAGACAUAAAAUACCACCAGUUUAUUGAAUACCAUAUAAGCCUACUCAAAGGUUUCAAAGAGAAAUUGUCCACAACACAUACAAAUUUAAUCCCUGAUUGGGUUUAAUGGGUGACUGAGAAACUGCACCAUAGAGUAUACCUAUGCAUCACUGCAGCUCAAAGGCAGUAUAUCAGCUGCUUCAGCAGUCUGUGCACCCCUAAUGACAAAGACGAGGGAGGAAAUCUGAAAAGUGAGACACUCCCAGAUGCUGUUUAAGCAGUUCUGCUGAGAUUUGAGGACUCAUCUGGGGCAACGCUUGCCAACGAUAACAAUCUUGCAUGUCCAAUUAACAGCACUGUACAAUAAAAAGUCAUGUUGUGGCAACAAUGCUGUGCUUAGACUGGUUUUGAAUGGUGCAUGCAAAAAUGCAUUUUCCCACUUGUUCAAGAAGCACCAAUGUGCUGAAAACAGUUGUUAUAUGUUAGUGAAAGAGUCUGGCUGGUCUAGGCUUACAGAUUUUUAUGGGCCACGUGUUUGCUUUAGUACUGUUAUAUCAACUCUUCAUUAAAGGGAUGUGCGCAUCAAAAAAAUAAAAAAAUCUGUAAUGAAAAUGCGGGUGCACAAAAAUCAUUGUUCUUAUAUGCUCUUAUAUGCUUAUGUUUUAGAUGUAACUUUUUCAUAUUCUGAUAUUGCUUUGACAGUAAUAACCAAUUUAUGUCUGAAAAUGUGUGACUACAAUAAUUAGAAUAUUUCACAGCUUUGGCUAUUUUUGUUUAAUGGCUAAAUGCAUACAUAUAACUGUAUAUUGACAAAGAUAAUUUAGGUUGAAACUCAGUGCAACCAGUUUCUCCCUUUAUGCUAUGUUUUAAUAAAAUGUGUUUAAAUAACCUACUUACAAUCUGUUGCACUUUAACAUUUUCUUUAAAAAGUGCUACUAGAUUAAAAUUGUUUCUGAUGAUGUAAUAACAGCUGUUAAACACUCAACAAAUGCUUUAAGUACUUCUCAGCAUUUUACAGUACUUCAAACAAGUGCUUCCUGAAAUCCAACCCUUAAAAAGGCCAAGCUCAACUGUGAAUACAAUUACCAAUCUAUAAUAAAACAGCCUGUCAAAAGUGCUGGCACCCAAUAAAAUAUGUAGCAGUAUGCAAACUCUAAUUAACUGAUUAAAUACAAUUAUCAUGAUUGAAGUUAUAGAGAGCAUAAUGAAAGGCACAAUAAUCACAAGUACAAUUAAAAAAUAAAUAAAUUAUUUACUUGACUUAAAAAAUAACUGAAAAAAAUAACUGAAUUCCUCAGUCUCUAUUUAUUUUAUUGCAGAAUGCAUACUGGCUUAAGUCUUUCGAUUUAUGAAAUCAGCCACAACCAAAAAUUCAAUAAAAGUUAGAAUUUAUUGAACAAAUCAGAUGCAGUCAUGUUGGCAGCAAGUACUGGCUUGUUUCCAGUGCUGAGAUUCACUGACAAGUAUAUAAUCAAAGUCAUCAUGGCAUGGAAAAGGAAGUCGUAAAUGAGUUCAGAUCCAGUUUUAUAAUUCAUAAUUUUUAGGAUCACUUUUUUAAACAAUCUUUCCCAGGAACAGCACGAGUUGCUCAUUGUCCUGUCUAAAAUUAGAUGAGUUCAUGAAUCGUUUAGACAAUCCAGGGCUCCCAGGAGAAUAAUCACUUUAAUACACCUGCCCCACUGCUCAGCUGACAGUGACCUUUGGCUCUCCUUUUCUGAGGUUGAUGUGAAAGAAUGGAAAAAUGCCAGGAAAUGACUUGGCUUCUUGCAUGUUAUGACACUUUCAGGGGGGUGAACUGUAGAUGAACUGUAAAUUUAUUUAAAUGUGCAUAAUGAGCUUAAUUUGCCCUUAAGCUGGUGCAUAAUUUGACACCAACGCUUGUUCAUAAAAACAACCUAUGCAGUGAUGCCAGACUGGAUGAGGUUGAUUGAAUUCGAUUGGGGGAAAAAUGUUCAUAGGUGGGUUGAUAAUAUUUCAGCUGAUUUGUGAUAAUUUUUGGACAGAUAAAAAAAUAUUUAAAACUCCUGUGAUUUAUGCAGUUAAAAUGAUAAGUAAAUUUCCCUCAACACUCACAAUUACACAAUUAUUUAUUAUCAGAUCAGUCAAAACCUGUUCAGUUCUGUUCACAUUCAGGAUUGCCACAUCCACCAUGAUUAGCAUAUUUUUUUUUUUUAAUUUAAUAUCACCUAAUCAAUCAAGGCUAAAGGGUUUAAAUAUAAUAAACAAAUUACCCUGAUCUUAAUUUGACACAAAUUAAAUCUGUGGGUUUCUACCUUUUUCAUAGAUGGCUAAUGGUUAAAUGUAGAGGGUUUAAAGAUGCUGAAAGACACCAAUGCUUUCAUCAUUCAGCUGUUCAGGGGUGCAUUUCCCAAAAGCAUCGUUAGCUAAUUAUGGUCGUUAGUUCCAUUGAACUCUAUUGGUAAUGAUGGAACUUGUAACCAUAGUUGUUUGUAGGAAACGCACCCCAGAUCAGUUUUCCCAUAUUUAGUGGUCAUGCAGAUAGA
rnacentral:lncRNA from 1 species